AUCCAUCACCAGCACAGGCUCCAUCAUCGGGUGCAGGGAUCCAUCACCAGCACAGGCUCCAUCAUCGGGUGCAGGGAUCCAUCACCAGCACAGGCUCCAUCAUCGGGUGCAGGGAUCCAUCACCAGCACAGGCUCCAUCAUCGGGUGCAGGGAUCCAUCACCAGCACAGGCUCCAUCAUCGGGUGCAGGGAUCCAUCACCAGCACAGGCUCCAUCACCAGCACAGGCUCCAUCAACAGUAAACAUGUGCAGUCCCUGGCCAGGCCAGAGGUAUCUUCAACUGACGAGGUUGGCAGUCACCAGAAGUGAACUGUUCUCAGGCUUUGUAAUGUCAUGGCGCCAUCUGCUGGAGGUCACUAUAAAUAACACCCUGCAGUCAUACACCUGACGAGUACAUUACCACAUAGACCAUGUGACUAUGGGGGUGGGGGGUGCAGAGAUCCCCUCCCCACAGGAACAGGUGUAGGGAACACUAAACCAAAAGGGGCCCUGUUGUACUCCUUGAUAUGGGCCCUUUCUCAGUGUGGGCUGUUAUGUGGAUGGGUCACCAGGUGGAGGUGUGGAGCAGUGUGGGCUGUUAUGUGGAUGGGUCACCAGGCGGAGGUGUGGAGCUGUGUGGGCAGUGACGUGGAUGGGUCACCAGGUGGAGGUGUGGAGCUGUGUGGGCUGUUAUGUGGAUGGGUCACCAGAUGGAGGUGUGGAGCAGUGUGGGCAGUGACGUGGAUGGGUCACCAGGUGGAGGUGUGGAGCUGUGUGGGCUGUUAUGUGGAUGGGUCACCAGGUGGAGGUGUGGAGCAGUGUGGGCUGUUAUGUGGAUGGGUCACCAGGUGGAGGUGUGGAGCUGUGUGGGCUGUUAUGUGGAUGGGUCACCAGAUGGAGGUGUGGAGCUGUGUGGGCAGUGACGUGGAUGGGUCACCAGAUGGAGGUGUGGAGCUGUGUGGGCUGUUAUGUGGAUGGGUCACCAGGUGGAGGUGUGGAGCAGUGUGGGCUGUUAUGUGGAUGGGUCACCAGGUGGAGGUGUGGAGCUGUGUGGGCUGUUAUGUGGAUGGGUCACCAGGUGGAGGUGUGGAGCUGUGUGGGCAGUGACGUGGAUGGGUCACCAGGUGGAGGUGUGGAGCUGUGUGGGCAGUGACGUGGAUGGGUCACCAGGUGGAGGUGUGGUGCAGUGUGGGCUGUUAUGUGGAUGGGUCACCAGGUGGAGGUGUGGAGCUGUGUGGGCUGUUAUGUGGAUGGGUCACCAGGUGGAGGUGUGGAGCUGUGUGGGCUGUUAUGUGGAUGGGUCACCAGGUGGAGGUGUGGAGCAGUGUGGGCUGUUAUGUGGAUGGGUCACCAGGUGGAGGUGUGGAGCUGUGUGGGCUGUUAUGUGGAUGGGUCACCAGGUGGAGGUGUGGAGCUGUGUGGGCUGUUAUGUGGAUGGGUCACCAGAUGGAGGUGUGGAGCAGUGUGGGCUGUUAUGUGGAUGGGUCACCAGGUGGAGGUGUGGAGCAGUGUGGGCUGUUAUGUGGAUGGGUCACCAGAUGGAGGUGUGGAGCUGUGUGGGCUGUUAUGUGGAUGGGUCACCAGGUGGAGGUGUGGAGCUGUGUGGGCUGUUAUGUGGAUGGGUCACCAGGUGGAGGUGUGGAGCUGUGUGGGCUGUUAUGUGGAUGGGUCACCAGGUGGAGGUGUGGAGCUGUGUGGGCCGUUAUGUGGAUGGGUCACCAGGUGGAGGUGUGGAGCAGUGUGGGCUGUUAUGUGGAUGGGUCACCAGGUGGAGGUGUGGAGCUGUGUGGGCCGUUAUGUGGAUGGGUCACCAGGUGGAGGUGUGGAGCUGUGUGGGCUGUUAUGUGGAUGGGUCACCAGGUGGAGGUGUGGAGCUGUGUGGGCUGUUAUGUGGAUGGGUCACCAGGUGGAGGUGUGGAGCUGUGUGGGCUGUUAUGUGGAUGGGUCACCAGGUGGAGGUGUGGAGCAGUGUGGGCAGUGACGUGGAUGGGUCACCAGGUGGAGGUGUGGAGCUGUGUGGGCUGUUAUGUGGAUGGGUCACCAGAUGGAGGUGUGGAGCUGUGUGGGCUGUUAUGUGGAUGGGUCACCAGGUGGAGGUGUGGAGCAGUGUGGGCAGUGACGUGGAUGGGUCACCAGGUGGAGGUGUGGAGCUGUGUGGGCUGUUAUGUGGAUGGGUCACCAGGUGGAGGUGUGGAGCUGUGUGGGCAGUGACGUGGAUGGGUCACCAGGUGGAGGUGUGGAGCUGUGUGGGCUGUGACGUGGAUGGGUCACCAGGUGGAGGUGUGGAGCUGUGUGGGCUGUUAUGUGGAUGGGUCACCAGGUGGAGGUGUGGAGCUGUGUGGGCUGUUAUGUGGAUGGGUCACCAGGUGGAGGUGUGGAGCAGUGUGGGCUGUUAUGUGGAUGGGUCACCAGGUGGAGGUGUGGAGCUGUGUGGGCUGUUAUGUGGAUGGGUCACCAGGUGGAGGUGUGGAGCUGUGUGGGCUGUUAUGUGGAUGGGUCACCAGAUGGAGGUGUGGAGCAGUGUGGGCUGUUAUGUGGAUGGGUCACCAGGUGGAGGUGUGGAGCAGUGUGGGCAGUGACGUGGAUGGGUCACCAGGUGGAGGUGUGGAGCUGUGUGGGCUGUUAUGUGGAUGGGUCACCAGGUGGAGGUGUGGAGCAGUGUGGGCUGUUAUGUGGAUGGGUCACCAGAUGGAGGUGUGGAGCUGUGUGGGCUGUUAUGUGGAUGGGUCACCAGGUGGAGGUGUGGAGCUGUGUGGGCUGUUAUGUGGAUGGGUCACCAGGUGGAGGUGUGGAGCUGUGUGGGCUGUUAUGUGGAUGGGUCACCAGGUGGAGGUGUGGAGCUGUGUGGGCCAUUAUGUGGAUGGGUCACCAGGUGGAGGUGUGGAGCAGUGUGGGCUGUUAUGUGGAUGGGUCACCAGGUGGAGGUGUGGAGCUGUGUGGGCUGUUAUGUGGAUGGGUCACCAGAUGGAGGUGUGGAGCUGUGUGGGCUGUUAUGUGGAUGGGUCACCAGGUGGAGGUGUGGAGCUGUGUGGGCAGUGACGUGGAUGGGUCACCAGAUGGAGGUGUGGAGCUGUGUGGGCUGUUAUGUGGAUGGGUCACCAGGCGGAGGUGUGGAGCUGUGUGGGCUGUUAUGUGGAUGGGUCACCAGGUGGAGGUGUGGAGCUGUGUGGGCUGUUAUGUGGAUGGGUCACCAGGUGGAGGUGUGGAGCUGUGUGGGCAGUGACGUGGAUGGGUCACCAGAUGGAGGUGUGGAGCUGUGUGGGCUGUUAUGUGGAUGGGUCACCAGGUGGAGGUGUGGAGCUGUGUGGGCCGUUAUGUGGAUGGGUCACCAGGUGGAGGUGUGGAGCAGUGUGGGCUGUUAUGUGGAUGGGUCACCAGAUGGAGGUGUGGAGCAGUGUGGGCUGUUAUGUGGAUGGGUCACCAGGUGGAGGUGUGGAGCUGUGUGGGCUGUUAUGUGGAUGGGUCACCAGGUGGAGGUGUGGAGCUGUGUGGGCUGUUAUGUGGAUGGUUCACCAGGUGGAGGUGUGGAGCAGUGUGGGCUGUUAUAGGAUGGGUCACCAGGCGGAGGUGUGGAGCUGUGUGGGCUGUUAUGUGGAUGGGUCACCAGGUGGAGGUGUGGAGCUGUGUGGGCUGUUAUGUGGAUGGGUCACCAGGUGGAGGUGUGGAGCUGUGUGGGCCGUUAUGUGGAUGGGUCACCAGGUGGAGGUGUGGAGCUGUGUGGGCUGUUAUGUGGAUGGGUCACCAGGUGGAGGUGUGGAGCUGUGUGGGCUGUUAUGUGGAUGGGUCACCAGGUGGAGGUGUGGAGCAGUGUGGGCUGUUACGUGGAUGGGUCACCAGGUGGAGGUGUGGAGCUGUGUGGGCUGUUAUGUGGAUGGGUCACCAGGUGGAGGUGUGGAGCUGUGUGGGCUGUUAUGUGGAUGGGUCACCAGGUGGAGGUGUGGAGCAGUGUGGGCUGUUACGUGGAUGGGUCACCAGGUGGAGGUGUGGAGCAGUGUGGGCUGUUAUGUGGAUGGGUCACCAGGUGGAGGUGUGGAGCAGUGUGGGCUGUUAUGUGGAUGGGUCACCAGGUGGAGGUGUGGAGCAGUGUGGGCUGUUACGUGGAUGGGUCACCAGGUGGAGGUGUGGAGCUGUGUGGGCCGUUAUGUGGAUGGGUCACCAGGUGGAGGUGUGGAGCAGUGUGGGCUGUUAUGUGGAUGGGUCACCAGGUGGAGGUGUGGGGACAUUAUAAUCGAUUCUAUAUAUUGCUUCUAUUAUGCACUUGAUUCGUCAGUAUAAUUUAUGAUUAAGAGGGUGAUUAUAUUUCUCCUAUGUACUGCUGGGGGGGGGUAUUAUACUGUUGGUUGUUAUGUAUUUGUUAUAUUACAUG